rnacentral:rRNA from 1 species
AUUGAACGCUGGCGGCAUGCUUUACACAUGCAAGUCGAACGGUAACAGGCCUUCGGCUUCUGACGAGUGGCGAACGGGGGAGUAAUGCAUCGGAACGUACCCAGAGGUAGGUUAUAACGCAGCGAAAGCUGUGCUAAUACCGCAUGUGAUCUGAGGAUGACAGCGGGGGACCGAGCAGCAAUGUUUGGCCUCGCGCCUUUGGAGCGGCCGAUGUCGGAUUAGCUAGUUGGUGGGGUAAAGGCCUACCAAGGCGACGAUCCGUAGCUGGUCUGAGAGGACGACCAGCCACACUGGGACUGAGACACGGCCCAGACUCCUACGGGAGGCAGCAGUGGGGAAUUUUGGACAAUGGGCGCAAGCCUGAUCCAGCAAUGCCGCGUGCGGGAAGAAGGCCUUCGGGUUGUAAACCGCUUUUGGCAGGAACGAAACGGUGUCCGCUAAUACCGGGCGCUAAUGACGGUACCUGAAGAAUAAGCACCGGCUAACUACGUG